AUGGAGGGGCCGCCGCGGCUGAUGGCGGGGGCGGUGAGGGAGAUAUGGGAGCUGCCGGACGGGCCGGGGACCAUCCAGCCGGUGCUGCAGGUGGCGGACCUACGCACCGUCACCACCAAGAACCCCGUCGGCCACCAGUCGGAGCGCUACCGCAUGCUGCUCUCCGAUGGCGUCCACUCCCAGCAGUCCAUGCUCUCCACCAACCACAACCACCUCGUCAAGACCGGCACCCUCCGCUAA
rnacentral:rRNA from 1 species